rnacentral:rRNA from 1 species
GUAGUCCACGCCGUAAACGAUGAGUACUAGGUGUAGGGGGUAUCGACCCCCUCUGUGCCGAAGCUAACGCGAUAAGUACUCCGCCUGGGGACUACGGCCGCAAGGCUAAAACUCAAAGGAAUUGACGGGGGCCCGCACAAGCAGCGGAGCGUGUGGUUUAAUUCGAUGAUACGCGAAGAACCUCACCCAGGUUUGACAUGCAUGUUUACUGAUGUGAAAGCUGAAGGACCCUUCGGGGAGCAUGCACAGGUGGUGCAUGGUUGUCGUCAGCUCGUGUCGUGAGAUGUUGGGUUAAGUCCCGCAACGAGCGCAACCCUUGUUGUUAAUUGCCAGCAUGUAAUGAUGGGGACUUUAGCAAGACUGCCAGUGAUAAAUUGGAGGAAGGUGGGGACGACGUCAAAUCAUCACGCCCCUUAUGACCUGGGCUACAAACGUGAUACAAUGGCUGUUACAAAGGGUAGCUAAAGCGCAAGCUUUUGGCGAAUCUCAAAAAAGCAGUCUCAGUUCGGAUUGAAGUCUGCAACUCGACUUCAUGAAGUUGGAAUCGCUAGUAAUCGCGAAUCAGCAUGUCGCGGUGAAUACGUUCUCGGGGUUUGUACACACCGCCCGUCAAACCACGAAAGUUGGCAAUACCCAAAACCGGUGGGCCUAACUUGAGCAAUCAAGAGGAGCCGUCUAAGUAGGGUUGAUGAUUGGGGUU